rnacentral:rRNA from 1 species
UGGGGAAUAUUGCACAAUGGGCGCAAGCCUGAUGCAGCCAUGCCGCGUGUAUGAAGAAGGCCUUCGGGUUGUAAAGUACUUUCAGCGGGGAGGAAGGGAGUAAAGUUAAUACCUUUGCUCAUUGACGUUACCCGCAGAAGAAGCACCGGCUAACUCCGUGCCAGCAGCCGCGGUAAUACGGAGGGUGCAAGCGUUAAUCGGAAUUACUGGGCGUAAAGCGCACGCAGGCGGUUUGUUAAGUCAGAUGUGAAAUCCCCGGGCUCAACCUGGGAACUGCAUCUGAUACUGGCAAGCUAGAGUCUUGUAGAGGGGGGUAGAAUUCCAGGUGUAGCGGUGAAAUGCGUAGAGAUCUGGAGGAAUACCGGUGGCGAAGGCGGCCCCCUGGACAAAGACUGACGCUCAGGUGCGAAAGCGUGGGGAGCAAACAGG